CCUACGUGAGGCAGCAGUGGGGAAUAUUUGGCCAUGGGCGCAAGCCUGACCCAGCAACGCAGCGUGAAGGAAGAAUGCUUUAGGGUUUGAACCUUCUUUUGUUAGGGAAGAGUAGAAGACGGUACCUGACGAAUAAGCCACGGCUAACUACGUGCCAGCAGCCGCGGUCAUACGUAGGUGGCAAGCGUUGUCCGGAUUCACUGGGUGUAAAGGGCGUGUAGCCGGGUUGACAAGUCUGAUGUGAAAUCCUGCGGCGUAACCGCAGAACUGCAUGUGAAACUGUUGAUCGUGAGUACUGGAGAGGCAGACGGAAGUCCUGGUGUAGCGGUGAAAUGCGUAGAUAUUAGGAGGAACACCAGUGGCGAAGGCGGCCUGCUGGACAGCAACUGACGGUGAGGCGCGAAAGCGUGGGGAGCAAACAGGAUUAGAUACCCGGGUAGUC
rnacentral:rRNA from 1 species